AUACGGAGGGUGCGAGCGUUAAUCGGAAUUACUGGGCGUAAAGCGUACGUAGGCGGUUGGUUAAGUUAGAUGUGAAAGCCCCGGGCUUAAUCUGGGAACUGCAUUUAAAACUGGCGAACUAGAGUUGAGUAGAGGGGAGUGGAAUUUCAGGUGUAGCGGUGAAAUGCGUAGAGAUCUGAAGGAACACCAGUGGCGAAGGCGACUCCCUGGACUCGAACUGACGCUGAGGUACGAAAGCGUGGGUAGCAAACGGGAUUAGAUACCCUAGUAGUCC
rnacentral:rRNA from 1 species